rfam:Gossypium arboreum cultivar AKA8401 contig_2148_3, whole genome shotgun sequence.
UGUUAAAACUUCAUCCAUUUCUAUUGUUAAAAACUGACGUGGUUGGCAAAAUAACCAGAUAUUUACACCUAGCAUGCCAUAUGUACUUCAUGUUGAAAUACAUUGACUAAUUUUUAACAGUAGAAAUAAAUAAAAUUUCUAAUA